rnacentral:rRNA from 1 species
CCUACGGGAGGCAGCAGUGAGGAAUAUUGGUCAAUGGACGAGAGUCUGAACCAGCCAAGUAGCGUGAAGGAUGACUGCCCUAUGGGUUGUAAACUUCUUUUAUAAAGGAAUAAAACGAGGCACGUGUGCCUUUUUGCAUGUACUUUAUGAAUAAGGAUCGGCUAACUCCGUGCCAGCAGCCGCGGUAAUACGGAGGAUCCGAGCGUUAUCCGGAUUUAUUGGGUUUAAAGGGAGCGUAGAUGGGUUGUUAAGGCAGGUGUGAAAGUUUGCGGCUCAACCGUAAAAUUGCAAUUGAUACUGGCAGACUUGAGUACAGUUGAGGUAGGCGGAAUUCGAGGUGUAGGAGUGAAAUGCGUAGAUAUCACGAAGAACCCCGAUUGCGAAGGCAGCUUACUAAACUGUGACUGACAUUGAUGCUCGAAAGUGUGGGUAUCAAACAGGAUUAGAUACCCGAGUAGUC